ensembl:snRNA U6 U6 spliceosomal RNA
GUGCUUACAUUAGCAGCAUACUUACUAAAGUUGAACGAUACAGAGAAGAUUAGUGUGGCCACUGUGCAAACAUGACACACAUUUGUGCAAUGUUCCAUAUAUAU